rnacentral:rRNA from 1 species
AGAAUACCAAGUCAUGCAUCGAGGGCUCCGGCCGAUCCUCCCACCCUUUGUGUACCUACCUCUGUUGCUUUGGCGGGCCGCGGUUCUCCGCGGCCGCCCCCCUCCCCGGGGGGUGGCCAGCGCCCGCCAGAGGACCAUCAAACUCCAGUCAGUAAACGAUGCAGUCUGAAAAACAUUUAAUAAACUAAAACUUUCAACAACGGAUCUCUUGGUUCUGGCAUCGAUGAAGAACGCAGCGAAAUGCGAUAAGUAAUGUGAAUUGCAGAAUUCAGUGAAUCAUCGAAUCUUUGAACGCACAUUGCGCCCUUUGGUAUUCCGAAGGGCAUGCCUGUUCGAGCGUCAUUACAACCCUCAAGCUCUGCUUGGUAUUGGGCACCGUCCUUUGCGGGCGCGCCUCAAAGACCUCGGCGGUGGCGUCUUGCCUCAAGCGUAGUAGAACAUACAUCUCGCUUCGGAGCGCAGGGCGUCGCCCGCCGGACGAACCUUCUGAACUUUUCUCAAGGUUGACCUCGGAUCAGGUAGGGAUACCCGCUGAACUUAAGCAUAUCAAUAAGCGGAGGAA